UACGUAGGGUGCAGGCGUUAAUCGGAAUUACUGGGCGUAAAGCGUGCGCAGGCGGUUUGCUAAGACAGGUGUGAAAUCCCCGGGCUUAACCUGGGAACUGCGCUUGUAACUGGCAAGCUAGGGUGUGGCAGAGGGGGGUGGAAUUCCACGUGUAGCAGUGAAAUGCGUAGAGAUGUGGAGGAACACCGAUGGCGAAGGCAGCCCCCUGGGCUACCACUGACGCUCAUGCACGAAAGCGUGGGGAGCAAACAGG
rnacentral:rRNA from 1 species